rnacentral:rRNA from 1 species
UACGUAGGGGGCAAGCGUUGUCCGGAUUUAUUGGGCGUAAAGGGCGCGUAGGCGGCGGGGUAAGUCGGGUGUGAAAUCUCAGAGCUCAACUCUGAAACUGCACUCGAUACUGCUCUGCUUGAGGACUGGAGAGGAGACUGGAAUUCACGGUGUAGCAGUGAAAUGCGUAGAUAUCGUGAGGAAGACCAGUGGCGAAGGCGGGUCUCUGGACAGUUCCUGACGCUGAGGCGCGAAGGCCAGGGGAGCAAACGGG